AGGGGCUGAAUUGGAAGGCUCACGACUUCCCUUGCAGGUGUAAGGAAGCCUGUGAAGCAAUCUAGAGGGUUUUCAUGGCCUCCCUUGAGGCCGCAAGGGAGCUCGUGAACAGCUCUCGGGCUAAGGCCUAUUUAAGGCCCUUCUUGGACCUUCUAGACUCUUCUUUGAGUCUUUCUUCCUCUCCUUCUUCCCCCUCCUAUAGAACCUUCAUUUCCCCUCUCCAAACUCCUCAUCUUUGGCCUACAAAAAAAGGAAGAAGUGGAGAUCUCUCUUCUCCUCUCUUGAAGAAGAGUUUUCUUAGGAUCUUGAGAAGCUUGGUGGAGGUGAGACUUCAAGCAAGGGCAAAGAGCCAGUGGAGAAGUAACACCGGAGGUUUUUGACUCACCAAGUUUCUGAGUGGGAUUUACUAUGGGUUAUAAAUCAUGCAUAUUUUCUAGUACUUAAAUUUCUUGCCUUUAAAUGAUAAAACUCUUGUUGCUAAAACUCUUGAAAUGUUUCCAUGGAAUUUAGAAACCAUGAUGAUUU